UCUUGGUCAUUUAGAGGAAGUAAAAGUCGUAACAAGGUCUCCGUAGGUGAACCUGCGGAGGGAUCAUUACACAACAAAAAUAUGAGGGUGUGGUUUGCUGGCAACAGCGUCCGCCCCAAGUAUUUUUCACCCAUGUCUUUUGCGCACUUUUUGUUUCCUGGGCGAGUUCGCUCGCCACCAGGACCCAACCUAAACUUUUUUUAUGCAGUUGCAAUCAGCGUCAGUAUAAUAAUUCAAUUUAUUAAAACUUUCAACAACGGAUCUCUUGGUUCUGGCAUCGAUGAAGAACGCAGCGAAAUGCGAUACGUAGUGUGAAUUGCAGAAUUCAGUGAAUCAUCGAAUCUUUGAACGCACAUUGCGCCCUUUGGUAUUCCAAAGGGCAUGCCUGUUCGAGCGUCAUUUGUACCCUCAAGCUUUGCUUGGUGUUGGGCGUCUUUUUGUCUCUCCCCUUGUUGGGGGAGACUCGCCUUAAAACGAUUGGCAGCCGACCUACUGGUUUUCGGAGCGCAGCACAAAUUUGCGCCUUCCAAUCCACGGGGCGGCAUCCAGCAAGCCUUUGUUUUCUAUAACAAAUCCACAUUUUGACCUCGGAUCAGGUAGGGAUACCCGCUGAACUUAAGCAUAUCAAUAAGCGGAGGA
rnacentral:rRNA from 1 species